rnacentral:rRNA from 1 species
AGAGUUUGAUCCUGGCUCAGGAUGAACGCUGGCGGCGCGCCUAACACAUGCAAGUCGAACGGCACCUAUCUUCGGAUAGAAGCGAGUGGCGAACGGCUGAGUAACACGUGGAGAACCUGCCCCCUCCCCCGGGAUAGCCGCCCGAAAGGACGGGUAAUACCGGAUACCCCGGGGGGCCGCAUGGCACCCCGGCUAAAGCCCCGACGGGAGGGGAUGGCUCCGCGGCCCAUCAGGUAGACGGCGGGGUGACGGCCCACCGUGCCGACAACGGGUAGCCGGGUUGAGAGACCGACCGGCCAGAUUGGGACUGAGACACGGCCCAGACUCCUACGGGAGGCAGCAGUGGGGAAUCUUGCGCAAUGGGGGGAACCCUGACGCAGCGACGCCGCGUGCGGGACGGAGGCCUUCGGGUCGUAAACCGCUUUCAGCAGGGAAGAGUCAAGACUGUACCUGCAGAAGAAGCCCCGGCUAACUACGUGCCAGCAGCCGCGGUAAUACGUAGGGGGCGAGCGUUAUCCGGAUUCAUUGGGCGUAAAGCGCGCGUAGGCGGCCCGGCAGGCCGGGGGUCGAAGCGGGGGGCUCAACCCCCCGAAGCCCCCGGAACCUCCGCGGCUUGGGUCCGGUAGGGGAGGGUGGAACACCCGGUGUAGCGGUGGAAUGCGCAGAUAUCGGGUGGAACACCGGUGGCGAAGGCGGCCCUCUGGGCCGAGACCGACGCUGAGGCGCGAAAGCUGGGGGAGCGAACAGGAUUAGAUACCCUGGUAGUCCCAGCCGUAAACGAUGGAAGCUAGGUGUGGGGGGGAAUGAUCCCCCCGUGCCGCAGCCAACGCAUUAAGCGUCCCCGUCUGGGGGAGUACGGCCGCAAGGUUAAAACUCAAAGGAAUUGACGGGGGCCCGCACAAGCAAGCGGAGCCAAUGUGGCUUAAUUCGAAGCAACGGGGAAGAACCUUACCAGGGCUUGACAUAAGGGUGAAGCGGGGGAGACCCCGUGGCCGAGAGGAGCCCAUACAGGUGGUGCAUGGCUGUCGUCAGCUCGUGUCGUGAGAUGUUGGGUUAAGUCCCGCAACGAGCGCAACCCCCGCCGCGUGUUGCCAUCGGGUGAUGCCGGGAACCCACGCGGGACCGCCGCCGUCAAGGCGGAGGAGGGCGGGGACGACGUCAAGUCAUCAUGCCCCUUAUGCCCUGGGCUGCACACGUGCUACAAUGGCCGGUACAGAGGGAUGCCACCCCGCGAGGGGGAGCGGAUCCCGGAAAGCCGGCCCCAGUUCGGAUUGGGGGCUGCAACCCGCCCCCAUGAAGUCGGAGUUGCUAGUAAUCGCGGAUCAGCAUGCCGCGGUGAAUGCGUUCCCGGGCCUUGCACACACCGCCCGUCA